UACGGAGGGUGCAAGCGUUAUCCGGAUUCACUGGGUUUAAAGGGUGCGUAGGCGGACAGGUAAGUCCGUGGUGAAAUCUCCGAGCUUAACUCGGAAACUGCCAUGGAUACUAUUUGUCUUGAAUACUGUGAAGGUGAGCGGAAUAUGUCAUGUAGCGGUGAAAUGCUUAGAUAUGACAUAGAACACCAAUUGCGAAGGCAGCUCACUGCGCAGUGAUUGACGCUGAGGCACGAAAGCGUGGGGAUCAAACAGGAUUAGAUACCCCCGUAGUCC
rnacentral:rRNA from 1 species